rnacentral:tRNA from 1 species
GGGGUUGUGGCUUAGCGGUAGAGUGCUCGCCUUACAGGAUCGAGACUCUGGGUUCAAUCCUCAGCACCACA